ensembl:lncRNA
GCUGGAUGAUGAUGUGGGUAAAACUGUCCAAGUAUGAACAAAUUUACACAUGUGGCUGAACAUUUUAGAAAGUCGUCUUUGCUGUCUUAAUCGUGAAAUCAUUGCUUCUUACUUUCUCUGUAUAGGGAGAUGCUGGUUUUCCUGGUUACCCUGGUAUACCGGUGCGUCCUUCAAUUUUCCAACCACUGAAACUGUAAUGCUACCAUGUGGUUCAGCCAAAGUAAUUUAGAAGUAUGUUGGACUCCGCGGUGAUUGAGACAUGGCAUUUUGUCUUCAGGGCGACGAAGGUGCGAAGAGAAGAGGAGGACGCCGCUAGAGCACGUCCUGAUUACUGAUCUAGGACGAAUUCAGUUCAGAAAGCUGGGCCCAAAAGGUCCUCCUGGGAACAGAAGCCUGUCUACAUCUGCUUCCUCAGCAAGGAUGCUGGCGACUGUGUGAAUUACACCGUCAAGUGGUUCUUCGACCACAAACGCAGCGUCUGCUCUCGCUUCUGGUACAGCGGCUGCGGAGGCAACAAAAACCGCUUUGAGACACAGGCAGAAUGUGAGAGAGUUUGUCUGUCAAAGCACAGAUGAGGCGUUGGGCCACCGAUCUCCACUGAGAGUAGACACAGCAGAGCAGCAGAGCGACCUCAGAGCAGCUUUGUCCACAGUGGGUUUUGUUCUGGGCGGUUAAAAUGUUCCAAGACUUAAAACAACAUCACGAGGAGCCGCCUUUUCUUCCAUGUAUGGUUAGUUUAGUUCACUCCUCUGAAACUACUUUACUGAAAUGGAAUAAUUUUUUUUAUGUCACAGGGUGCUAUUUUUAAAGGGUUUUUUUUUUCUUUUUAAAUACUUUAAAUGCUUCCAAAAUUAAGAAAAGCCAUCAUGAGAAUGUGAUGAAAAAUGAUUUUAUGCCUAAAACAUGAAUUAUGUUUAACAGAUGCCAAAGGAAUCAGGACUGGGCUGUCCUUUUGCGUGAUACAAAUUUCGACGUUGGUACAGUGCUUUUGCAGCUGCAGCCGUGCAAAACACAAAUCUAUGAGAAAAUUUAGAAACAUCAAAAGUUAAAGUGAAAACAGCGCCAUCUAAUGAAACGCUGCCCCCUGCUGGUGAACAUUUUAAAACCUGCCUUUAAAAGUCCAAAUAUUUCCAGGGCUUGAAGCA